GCGCCGGAGCGGACCUCCCUCAUGAAUAUGCAGCGCCGCCCCGCGUAAACAGAGCGCGCCAUUGGCUGGCGGGGGGCGUGACGGCGGCGGCGCCGCGCUCUUCCUCACGUGACCCGCGCGCGGCGGCCGUUGGCGGCGGCGGCGGCCCCGAGAUGACGGUGCCGCGCCCCGAGAUGACGGUGCCGUGCCCCGCCGCUGUGCAGGCCUGGGAACGGGGAAGAGGCGCUGCUGAGUCAAAGCACGGCGUUUUUAAAGACGGACUCCUUGGAAGUUUUUCCCAAGCUGGCUUUUCUGGUUAGACUACAUCUCCAGUAAUGCUCGAUGGAUAUGGAUUCCUACAGUGCCUUCCUCCCUUUAUCUAGCAGAGAGAGGUAAGUGUGGAAAGGAAAUGCUGAGACAGUUGAGAGCCCAGUACACAAAUAAAAGCAUUCAAACAAUUUUCA
rnacentral:lncRNA from 1 species